UACGAAGGGGGCUAGCGUUGCUCGGAAUCACUGGGCGUAAAGGGUGCGUAGGCGGGUUUUUAAGUCAGAGGUGAAAUCCUGGAGCUCAACUCCAGAACUGCCUUUGAUACUGAAGAUCUUGAGUCCGGGAGAGGUGAGUGGAACUGCGAGUGUAGAGGUGAAAUUCGUAGAUAUUCGCAAGAACACCAGUGGCGAAGGCGGCUCACUGGCCCGGUACUGACGCUGAGGCACGAAAGCGUGGGGAGCAAACAGGG
rnacentral:rRNA from 1 species